rnacentral:rRNA from 1 species
CCUACGGGUGGCAGCAGUGAGGAAUAUUGGUCAAUGGGCGCGAGCCUGAACCAGCCAAGUAGCGUGAAGGAUGACUGCCCUACGGGUUGUAAACUUCUUUUAUAAAGGAAUAAAGUGAGGCACGUGUGCCUUGUUGUAUGUACUUGAAGAAUAAGGAUCGGCUAACUCCGUGCCAGCAGCCGCGGUAAUACGGAGGAUUCGAGCGUUAUCCGGAUUUAUUGGGUUUAAAGGGUGCGUAGAUGGGUUGUUAAGUCAGUUGUGAAAGUUUGGGGCUCAACCGUAAAAUUGCAAUUGAUACUGGCAGUCUCGAGUAGAGUUGAGGUAUGCGGAAUGCGUGGUGUAGCGGUGAAAUGCUUAGAUAUCGCGAAGAACUCCGAUUGCGAAGGCAGCUUGCCAA